UACGGGGGGAGCAAGCGUUGUUCGGAUUUACUGGGCGUAAAGGGCGCGUAGGCGGCCAGCACAAGUCAGUUGUGAAAUCUCCGAGCUUAACUCGGAAAGGUCAACUGAUACUGUGCGGCUAGAGUGCGGCAGAGGGGGAUGGAAUUCCGCGUGUAGCAGUGAAAUGCGUAGAUAUGCGGAGGAACACCGAUGGCGAAGGCAAUCCCCUGGGCCUGCACUGACGCUCAUGCACGAAAGCGUGGGGAGCAAACAGG
rnacentral:rRNA from 1 species